rnacentral:rRNA from 1 species
AGCGAACGCUGGCGGCAGGCCUAACACAUGCAAGUCGAACGAACCUUUCGGGGUUAGUGGCGGACGGGUGAGUAACACGUGGGAACGUGCCUUUAGGUUCGGAAUAACUCAGGGCAACUUGUGCUAAUACCGAAUGUGCCCUUCGGGGGAAAGAUUAAUCGCCUUUAGAGCGGCCCGCGUCUGAUUAGCUAGUUGGUUGAGGUAAUGGCUCACCCAGGCGACGAUCAGUAGCUGGUCUGAGAGGAUGAUCAGCCACAUUGGGACUGAGACACGGCCCAAAAUCCUACGGGAGGCAGCAGUGGGGAAUCUUGCGCAAUGGGCGAAAGCCUGACGCAGCCAUGCCGCGUGAAUGAUGAAGGUCUUAGGAUUGUAAAAUUCUUUCACCGGGGACGAUAAUGACGGUACCCGGAGAAGAAGCCCCGGCUAACUUCGUG